rnacentral:rRNA from 1 species
UACGUAGGGUGCGAGCGUUAAUCGGAAUUACUGGGCGUAAAGCGUGCGCAGGCGGUUUUGUAAGCCAGAUGUGAAAUCCCCGGGCUUAACCUGGGAACUGCAUUUGUGACUGCAUAGCUAGAGUACGGCAGAGGGGGAUGGAAUUCCGCGUGUAGCAGUGAAAUGCGUAGAUAUGCGGAGGAACACCGAUGGCGAAGGCAAUCCCCUGGGCCUGUACUGACGCUCAUGCACGAAAGCGUGGGGAGCAAACAGG